rnacentral:rRNA from 1 species
GAUGAACGCUGGCGGCGUGCCUAAUACAUGCAAGUCGAGCGAACAGACGAGGAGCUUGCUCCUCUGACGUUAGCGGCGGACGGGUGAGUAACACGUGGAUAACCUACCUAUAAGACUGGGAUAACUUCGGGAAACCGGAGCUAAUACCGGAUAAUAUAUUGAACCGCAUGGUUCAAUAGUGAAAGACGGUUUUGCUGUCACUUAUAGAUGGAUCCGCGCCGCAUUAGCUAGUUGGUAAGGUAACAGCUUACCAAGGCAACGAUGCGUAGCCGACCUGCGAGGGUGAUCGGCCACACUGGAACUGAGACACGGUCCAGACUCCUACGGGAGGCAGCAGUAGGGAAUCUUCCGCAAUGGGCGAAAGCCUGACGGAGCAACGCCGCGUGAGUGAUGAAGGUCUUCGGAUCGUAAAACUCUGUUAUUAGGGAAGAACAAAUGUGUAAGUAACUAUGCACGUCUUGACGGUACCUAAUCAGAAAGCCACGGCUAACUACGUG